rnacentral:lncRNA from 1 species
CUCUGCCUCAUGUGUAGAAUACUUUUCAGAUGAGAAAUGAGUAAAUCCUGAAUCUCAAUCACCAUCUUACCUCUCACCCAUUCAUCUAUUCAUUCAAUAAAUGCUUAUUGAAUGUUUCCUAUAAGAAACAUAGCUAUAAAGAUGACAUUUGCUCAUGAAAUACUUUCAUUAAAAAAAAAAAGCUUUCCCUUCUCUCCGUGCUUUUUAUAUCUGCAACAUCACCUAAUUUUAUCAUCAAACUAUAGAAAAAAGAUUUCUAGCAUGGUCAGGUGCUAAGACAAAGGGAAUGGCUCAGAAGACUUUGACCUUUGUUCAUCUUCGGUGAAAAAGUUUCAUGACUAGCAAUUCCUUUUGGAAUAUACUCUGCCUGAAAGUGUGGUUUGUGAAGUUUUGGUUUGGUAAGAUGUUGCUGGUGGAACAAAUUCUUAGGCUAAAUAAUCCCAAUUCCUCCAACCAAAGGAAUGUUCUUUACUGCCAGAGAAUUCCUGGGAGAUGUCUCCCUGUAUUGGUUGUGACCAACAUUGCGAACCAGUUGCUCUCAGGCAUCUAAUCUCAUGAAUGUGACCUUUGCUACCUGGCACAUACAAGAGAAGUAAGAGAAAUAACAUCACCAUUUUUACAUUGUAUUUACUGACCUUUAGAGAACAUUUGACACCAUUAACAACAGCUGGACUAUGACAGCUACUAAGUACCUUUGGCUCUUUAGAGAUUGCCAAGAUUAUAAAAUUAUUCGAUGAUGGUGAACCUGGUGGAAGUGUCAGCAGUAAAGCUUGAAGGCAAACAUUCCUGAUCUAUCAAAUAGAGUCAGGAACCAUUGAAUCACAGAAUUAGAUUCUCAAAUUUUGAAGGCUAUGACAACCACUGGAUCCCACACAUACCUGAACAAGAAUCACCUCUAAGACCAUUGAACCACAGAUUUAAAAUUGGAAUUGGAAAGAAUGUUAGAGGAUGUUGAGUUCAACUCCUGUACUUUACAGAAGAGAAAACAUAAGCCCAGAGACAUUAAGUGGCUUGACCUAGGUCAUACAGGGAGUAAGUCAAAGAUCUAGUACUUUAACUCAAGUCAUCUGACUCCAAAUUCAGCACUUUUUACAUGCCAUAACAC